rnacentral:rRNA from 1 species
UUGCAGCGGCCUACCAUGCAAGUCGGACGGUAGCACAGAGGAGCUUGCUCCUUGGGUGACGAGUGGCGGACGGGUGAGUAAUGUCUGGGGAUCUGCCCGAUAGAGGGGGAUAACCACUGGAAACGGUGGCUAAUACCGCAUAACGUCGCAAGACCAAAGAGGGGGACCUUCGGGCCUCUCACUAUCGGAUGAACCCAGAUGGGAUUAGCUAGUAGGCGGGGUAAUGGCCCACCUAGGCGACGAUCCCUAGCUGGUCUGAGAGGAUGACCAGCCACACUGGAACUGAGACACGGUCCAGACUCCUACGGGAGGCAGCAGUGGGGAAUAUUGCACAAUGGGCGCAAGCCUGAUGCAGCCAAGCCGCGUGUAUGAAGAAGGCCUUCGGGUUGUAAAGUACUUUCAGCGGGGAGGAAGGCGAUGCGGUUAAUAACCGCGUCGAUUGACGUUACCCGCAGAAGAAGCACCGGCUAACUCCGUGCCAGCAGCCGCGGUAAU